ensembl:lncRNA
UAGAGAGUGGAUGGAUGUUAGAGAGUGGAUGGAGGAUAGAGAGUGGAUGGAGUAUAGAAAGUGAAUGGAGGAUAGAGAGUGGAUGGAGGUUAGAGAGUGGAUGGAGGAUAGAGAGUGGAUGGAGGAUAGAGAGUGGAUGAAGACACAGAGUGGAUGGAGGAUAGAGAGUGGAUGGAGGAUAGAGAGUGGAUGGAGGAUAGAGAGUGGAUGGAGGAUAGAGAGUGGAUGGAGGAUAGAGAGUGGAUGGAGGAUUGAGAGUGGAUGGAGGUUAGAGAGUGGAUGGAGGAUAGAGAGUGGAUGGAGGAUAGAGAGUGGAUGGAGGAUAGAGAGUGGAUGAAGACACAGAGUGGAUGGAGGAUAGAGAGUGGAUGGAGGAUAGAGAGUGGAUGGAGGAUAGAGAGUGGAUGGAGGUUAGAGAGUGGAUGGAGGAUAGAGAGUGGAUGGAGGAUAGAGAGUGGAUGGAGGAUAGAGAGUGGAUGGAGGAUAGAGAGUGGAUGGAGUGUGUGUGUGUGUGUGAGAGUGUGUGUGUGUGUGUG